UGUCCGAGACCCAGGGCGG
rnacentral:misc_RNA from 1 species